UUAAGUUCAGCGGGUAUCCCUACCUGAUCCGAGGUCAACCUUUGAUGGGAGGUUUAACGGCUCAGACGCUCCUUCUCGCCAGCGAGUUUGUUGCCACAACGCUGAGAUCCAGAUCGUCCAGCCGGCGACAUUAAGGCGCGGGUGACCCCCGACGCCCAAGACCAAGCUAAUAAAUCGGCUUGAGUUUGUUUAAUGACGCU
rnacentral:misc_RNA from 1 species